UACGUAGGGUGCGAGCGUUAAUCGGAAUUACUGGGCGUAAAGCGUGCGCAGGCGGUGAUGUAAGACAGUUGUGAAAUCCCUGGGCUCAACCUAGGAAUUGCAUCUGUGACUGUAUAGCUAGAGUACGGUAGAGGGGGAUGGAAUUCCGCGUGUAGCAGUGAAAUGCGUAGAUAUGCGGAGGAACACCGAUGGCGAAGGCAAUCCCCUGGGCCUGCACUGACGCUCAUGCACGAAAGCGUGGGGAGCAAACAGG
rnacentral:rRNA from 1 species